rnacentral:rRNA from 1 species
UACAGAGGGUGCGAGCGUUAAUCGGAAUUACUGGGCGUAAAGCGCACGUAGGUGGCGACGUAAGUCGGUUGUGAAAGCCCCGGGCUCAACCUGGGAAUUGCAUUCGAGACUGCAUUGCUGGAGUACGGAAGAGGAGGGCGGAAUUCCCGGUGUAGCGGUGAAAUGCGUAGAUAUCGGGAGGAACAUCAGUGGCGAAGGCGGCCCUCUGGUCCAGUACUGACACUCAAGUGCGAAAGCGUGGGGAGCAAACAGG